UUCUGAUCCGGAACAUCCUGCAAUGCGUAACGGGCCAGCUCGUGGAACUCAACAUUGUACUUGUACAUAGAAUUGCUGCCCUGCUUCAAGCGCCUGAACUUCUCACGCAUCUCCUCAACAAAACUGGAAGGAAUGUAGUGGGACCUGAAGUCACGACAGAACUCGUCCCAAGACAUCACCCUGCCACCUCUGGAGUCCUUAAGCUGCUGCCACCAAAUAGAAG
rnacentral:lncRNA from 1 species